GAUGAACGCUAGCGGCAGGCUUAAUACAUGCAAGUCGAGGGGCAGCACAGGUAGCAAUACUGGGUGGCGACCGGCAAACGGGUGCGGAACACGUACACAACUUACCUUCUGGUGGGGGAUAGCCUUUGGAAACGGAGAUUAAUACCCCAUAUUAUAUAUGAGCUGCAUGGGUUGUCUAUUAAAGAUUUAUUGCCGGAAGAUGGGUGUGCGUAUGAUUAGGUAGUUGGCGGGGUAACGGUCCACCAAGCCGACGAUCAUUAACUGGUGUGAGAGCACGACCAGUCACACGGGCACUGAGACACGGGCCCGGCUCCUACGGGAGGCAGCAGUAAGGAAUAUUGGUCAAUGGACGGAAGUCUGAACCAGCCAUGCCGCGUGGAGGAUGAAGGUCCUCUGGAUUGUAAACUUCUUUUAUAGGGGGCGAAAAAAGGGAAUUCUUUCUCGUCUGACGGUACCCUAUGAAUAAGCACCGGCUAACUCCGUGCCAGCCGCCGCCGUAAAAC
rnacentral:rRNA from 1 species